rnacentral:lncRNA from 1 species
UUAUAUUACAAUCCCUUAAGAUGAAAAAGAAUGCUUUAGCAAUAAUAAUUAGAUUACAUUAGAAAAGAUCCAUAAUAAUUCAGUGUAAGUACUGAGCUUGAACUUACCCAAAAUCAAUAAUGCAAAUUAACGCGAAUUUGACUCAACUAUUAACAUAGAUAAACUAAUCAAUCUUACUAGCACGCCACAAACCAAUUCCUAAUUAAGGCUUCGGCUUUAGCAAUGUCAACUUCAUGAUCAGAGAAAUUUCUACAACCAUCUCCAAACCUUCAUGAUUCCACACAACAGCACCAUAUCCCGCUACGCCACAAUUUACAUCAACUACUGCAUCUAUGUUUAAUUUCACCUACAUCACAACAAAUCAAAGAGUGCAUCAGAGUCUCACUUGACAAACCAUCGAAGCAAUAGGAAGCAUUCCGACAACACUUUCUUUCUAACUAAAUUCACUCCAAUGGGGAGAAUAAAAUGAAGAGCUCAUCAGAGAAAAAUCUUAACCUUAGGAGGCACCUUUAAACACCAAAUCAGAUUCCAACACUACCCCAGUAGAUGAUCCAGCACACAAGGAAUCCCGACUUUACAAUAUACAGCCCACACUUAUUGGUCCUGUAAACGUGACGUAUGCCAGCAGUUCCCAUUCUGAAUCAGAUUAUCUAUUGUUGUCUCUCAUGGCAAAGAAACCGAAGAGGUAGGCCUGAAAAUACUCAUCCUCAACAGCCAAUUACUAUCAUAAACACUAAUAUUUCUUCUAUUCCUCACUCGCCAACGAAUACCUUACUAUAAAAGCUCACGCCCAAGAGAAUACUCCACUGUAGGCAUGAAGGAUUUGAACCUAAUUGAGCAUGUAGGAAAGAGCUUCGUCGAAAAUACCGUACUUGUAAUACCCUCGAGACCAACAACUCAUCAUACAACAGCAACCUCCACUGUUG